AAUUCUGAAAAGACCUGUUGCUAUAGAAACUAUUUGUGCAGUUUAGUCUUUGAAGGAAAAGCAGAGUGUACCUUUGGCAACCACAAGACAUACUGGGUCUUGUGUGGAUUUGCUUUCCUUGACAAGCCAAGAGAUGAUCAAGAAGCUUACACUGAAUCAUUCAAGACUACACAGCUCUGAGGAUAGUGGAAUGGAAAAAGUAGAGUCUACCAAAGAGAUAUAGUAAUAAGGACAAGUCUUCAACACCAUAGAUGUUUUAGGAAAUGAAGAGAUGGCUGGACUGAGGAGUCUCCUUAAAUGGAGACUCUGUGCCCCUCCAAUUAAGGAAGGAAUCCCAGGAGCAGAGAUACUGAACAAAUGCACCUAACCAGCAUUCCCCAUUCUCAAAAUGUACCGUUUAUGCAACUACACAUUGAAGAUAAAUGGAUGGUAAUCUCAGAAGAAAUGCACUAAUAGGGGAAUUUUACCUGCCUCCCUAUAGAAAUAGAACCAAACAAAAACUUGAGCUAUACUAAUUUUAAAGAAUAGGAUGAAAGAACCAACUAAAGAGCAGGUAUAGUCAUAAAACCUAUUCAAAUGAGAAAUUUAAGAAGUAUCCUCAACCUCCACAUGCUUCCUACAAGCACCAGUGCGAUUGGCAUUAUGGAAUACAAAGAUAAAUAUAGUCCUUUCCCUUAAAGAGCAUAAAAACUAGUAAGAAUCCAGAACAAUAAACUUAAGUAUUCAAAUAAGUAGAAUAAAGAUACAAGUGAAUUGGAGAUAAUGAUGGAUUUUGGAGGAGAUGUGGGAAAACUGAGACACUAAUACAUUGUUGAUGCAGUUGUAAACUUAUCUAACCAUU